GACGAACGCUGGCGGCGUGCUUAACACAUGCAAGUCGAACGGAAAGGCCCUGCUUUUGCUGGGUUCUCGAUUGGCGAACGCGUGAGUAACACGUGAGUAACCCCCCCUUGACUUUGGGAUAACUUCUGGAAACUCGGGCUCAUAUCGCAUAGAAUCUCCUGCACCAUGUUGUGCGUUAGAAAGUUUCGGCGGUUGGGGAUGUACUGGCGGCUUAUGCGCUGGUUGGUCGGGUAGUGGCUUACGAAGCCUUUGACGGCUAGGCGGCCUGAGCGGGUGAACGGCGACCUUGGGACUGAGGUACGCCGCAGACGGCUACGGGACGCAGCAGUGGGGAGUAUGGCACAAUGGGCGGAAGCCAGAGGUAGCAAUGUCGCGUGCGGGAUACCGGCUUUCGGGUUGUAAACCGCUUUGGCAUGUGACGAAGCGUGAGUGACGGUAAUGGGUAAAGAAGCAACGGCUAACUACGUG
rnacentral:rRNA from 1 species